rnacentral:lncRNA from 1 species
UUUUUUUUUCCUUGGGGAUUCUCCUUUCUCCUGCCAAACUGACUUGCACCUUCUCGAUAAUUUCUCUUCCCCUCGUUUUUUAUACUCUUCUCCCUGCUUCCAAACCCUGUGUCUGUGUGUUUCAGUACUAUCACAACCUCUGCUAAAAAUAGAUCUUUUUAUAUACCCUUCCUCCUCUCUGACCCCAUCCAACACCCCUUGUUAAGCAGGUCAAGCUUUCUAUGGAUUAAGGCAGAAUUGUGGCUCACAGAGAUGGAAUGUGAUUGGUAUUUUCAGCAGCAUUUUCAUGUCCCAGAAAAACUGCAGCAACUGAACAAAGGGAGCAACAUACUCAACAUCUUUAGAUUUCGUCCUUGA